GGCUUGGUUGGUCUAGGGUUAUGAUUCUCGCUUUGGGUGCGAGAGGUCCCGGGUUCAAAUCCCGGAUGAGCCC
rnacentral:tRNA from 1 species